AGUAAUAACACUCAUUUAAGGAACAUAUGUAAUUGUUUUGGGUUACAAAUUAUAAAUAACUUCAAGUCUUAAUUAAUUCAUAAGUUUCUAUCUAUUUAUAUCUGUUUACCUUCAAGAUUUUGAAGGAAAACGAUAUUUUAAUAGUCCCAAGAGACCAAUCUUUGACCAAGAAGCGUCGAUAUCAAAGAUAAGUGCGUCAGAAAAGCAAUUAGUGUUUCAGAAGGAUUAGAUUUUAUUUUUCAUGGGAAAAAUAACCAGAUGACUGUAAAAAUUUGUUAAAACUAGUAAAAUUUGUAUAAUUGGUCACCUAUAAAAAUAAUAUUUAGAAAAGUUACUUAUCUAAGUAAUUUUUAAAAUAGC
rnacentral:lncRNA from 1 species